rnacentral:rRNA from 1 species
UACGUAGGUGACAAGCGUUGUCCGGAUUUACUGGGCGUAAAGAGCGCGCAGGCGGUCGAUCAAGUCGAGUGUGAAAGCCCCCGGCUCAACUGGGGAGGGUCAUUCGAUACUGAUCGACUCGAAGGCAGGAGAGGGUAGUGGAAUUCCCGGUGUAGUGGUGAAAUGACGUAGAUAUCGGGAGGAACACCAGUGGCGAAGGCGGGUCUCUGGGCCGAUACUGACGCUGAGGAGCGAAAGCGUGGGAGCGAACGAGG